rnacentral:rRNA from 2 species
AAAUUGAAGAGUUUGAUCAUGGCUCAGAUUGAACGCUGGCGGCAGGCCUAACACAUGCAAGUCGAACGGUAACAGGAAGCAGCUUGCUGCUUCGCUGACGAGUGGCGGACGGGUGAGUAAUGUCUGGGAAACUGCCUGAUGGAGGGGGAUAACUACUGGAAACGGUGGCUAAUACCGCAUAACGUCGCAAGACCAAAGAGGGGGACCUUCGGGCCUCUUGCCAUCAGAUGUGCCCAGAUGGGAUUAGCUUGUUGGUGAGGUAACGGCUCACCAAGGCGACGAUCCCUAGCUGGUCUGAGAGGAUGACCAGCCACACUGGAACUGAGACACGGUCCAGACUCCUACGGGAGGCAGCAGUGGGGAAUAUUGCACAAUGGGCGCAAGCCUGAUGCAGCCAUGCCGCGUGUAUGAAGAAGGCCUUCGGGUUGUAAAGUACUUUCAGCGGGGAGGAAGGUGUUGUGGUUAAUAACCGCAGCAAUUGACGUUACCCG